AUGGGAACAAGUAAUAAUGUUACAGAAUUUGUCCUCCCAGGCCUCUCUCAGGAUCCUGAUGUGCAAAAAGCAUUAUUUGUAAUGUUUUUACUCACAUACAAUGUGACUAUGGUGGGCAACCUUCUCAUUGUGGUGACCAUUAUUGCCAUCGCCUCCUUGGACUCCCCAGUGUCCUUCUUCCUCGCAUGCCUGUCAUUUAUUGAUGCUGUAUAUUCCACUUCCUUUUCCCCUAAGUUGAUGAUAGACUUACUCUGUGAUAAAAAAGACUGUUUCUUUCCUGGCUUGCAUGGGCCAGCUAUUUAUAAACUACCCAUUUGGUGGUAUUGAGGUCUUUCUUUUGGUGGGUAUGGCCUGUGAUCACUAUGUGGACAUCUGUAAGCUACUGCACUAUUUGACCAUCAUGAACUGGCAGGUUUGCAUCCUCCUGUUUAUGGUGGCUGUGACUGGAGGUUUUUGCAUUCUAUGUUUCAAAUUGUUGUUGUGUACAGUCUCCCUUUCUGUGGCCCCAAUGUCAUUGACCAUUUUGUGACAUGUACCCAUUAUUGGAAAUGGUGUGCACUGACACUUACUUUAUAGGCCUCACUGUGAUUGCCAAUGGUGGAGCAGUCUGUAUGGUCAUCUUCAUCCUUCUACUAAUCUCCUAUGGAGUCAUCCUAAACUCCCUUAAAACUUAUAGUCAGGAAGGCGGGCAUAAAGCCCUGUCUACCUGCAGCUCCAACAUUACUGUUGUGUCCCCUUUUUUGAUCCCUGUAUUUUCAUCUAUGUUAGACCUGAUUCAAACUUUCCUAUUGAUAAAUUCAUGACUGUGUUUUAUACAAUUAUCACAUCCAUGUUGAAUCCAUUAAUAUACACACUGAGAAAUUUAGAGGUGAGAAUUGCUGUGAAAAAACUCUGGUGUAAAAAC
rnacentral:lncRNA from 1 species